rnacentral:rRNA from 1 species
UGCGUAGGCGGCGCGGAAAGUUGGGUGUGAAAGCCCUCGGCUCAACCGAGGAAUUGCGCCCAAAACUGCCGCACUAGAGGAAGACAGAGGUACGCGGAACUUAGGGUGGAGCGGUGAAAUGCGUUGAUAUCCUAAGGAACACCGGUGGCGAAAGCGGCGUACUGGGUCUUAUCUGACGCUGAGGCACGAAAGCUAGGGGAGCAACG